rnacentral:rRNA from 1 species
GAGUUUGAUCAUGGCUCAGAACGAACGCUGGCGGCAUGCCUAACACAUGCAAGUCGAACGAAGCCUUCGGGCUUAGUGGCGCACGGGUGCGUAACGCGUGGGUAUCUGCCCUUGGGUGCGGAAUAACCAGGAGAAAUCCUGGCUAAUACCGCAUAAUGUCUCGGACCAAAGAUUUAUCGCCCAAGGAUGAGCCCGCGUCGGAUUAGCUUGUUGGUGAGGUAAAAGCUCACCAAGGCGACGAUCCGUAGCUGGUCUGAGAGGAUGAUCAGCCACACUGGGACUGAGACACGGCCCAGACUCCUACGGGAGGCAGCAGUGGGGAAUAUUGGACAAUGGGGGAAACCCUGAUCCAGCAAUGCCGCGUGAGUGAUGAAGGCCCUAGGGUUGUAAAGCUCUUUUGCCAGGGAUGAUAAUGACAGUACCUGGAGAAUAAGCUCCGGCUAACUCCGUGCCAGCAGCCGCGGUAAUACGGAGG